rnacentral:rRNA from 1 species
UACGUAGGGGGCAAGCGUUGUCCGGAAUCAUUGGGCGUAAAGCGCGUGUAGGCGGCUCAGUAAGUCCGCUCUGAAAGCCCGGGGCUUAACCCCGGGAGGCGGGUGGAUACUGCUGAGCUUGAGUCCGGAAGAGGCGAGUGGAACUCCCGGUGUAGCGGUGAAAUGCGCAGAUAUCGGGAGGAACACCAAUGGCGAAGGCAGCUCGCUGGGACGUGACUGACGCUGAGACGCGAAAGCGUGGGGAGCAAACAGG